rnacentral:rRNA from 2 species
UUUUUAUGGCUCAGGAUGAACGCUAGCUACAGGCUUAACCCUUGCAAGUCGAGGGGCAGCGGUAUCGGAAGCUUGCUUUCGGUAGCCGGCGACCGGCGCACGGGUGAGUAACGCGUAUCGAACCUGCCUCAUACUCGGGAAUAGCCUUGCGAAAGUAAGAUUAAUGCCCGGUGUUUUCAGAGUCCCGCAUGAGGCUUUGAACAAAGAUUUAUCGGUAUGAGAUGGCGAUGCGUCCCAUUAGCUUGUUGGCGGGGUAACGGCCCACUAAGGCAUCGAUGGGUAGGGGUUCUGAGAGGAAGGUCCCCCACAUUGGAACUGAGACACGGUCCAAACUCCUACGGGAGGCAGCAGUGAGGAAUAUUGGUCAAUGGGCGGAAGCCUGAACCAGCCAAGUAGCGUGCAGGAAGACGGCCCUCCGGGUUGUAAACUGCUUUUAGUUGGAAAUAAAACGGGGCUCGUGAGCCCCCUUGCAUGUACCAUCAGAAAAAGGACCGGCUAAUUCCGUGCCAGCAGCCGCGGUAAUACGGAAGGUCCGGGCGUUAUCCGGAUUUAUUGGGUUUAAGGGGAGCGCAGGCGGACCUUUAAGUCAGCUGUGAAAUACGGCGGCUCAACCGUCGAACUGCAGUUGAUACUGGAGGUCUUGAGUGCACACAGGGAUGCUGGAAUUCAUGGUGUAGCGGUGAAAUGCUCAGAUAUCAUGAAGAACUCCGAUCGCGAAGGCAGGCAUCCGGG